AUCACCUCAAAUCAGGUAGGACUACCCGCUGAACUUAAGCAUAUCAAUAAGCGGAGGAAAAGAAACUAACAAGGAUUCCCCUAGUAACUGCGAGUGAAGCGGGAAAAGCUCAAAUUUAAAAUCUGGCGUUCUCUCGGACGUCCGAGUUGUAAUCUAGAGAAGCGUCUUCCGCGCCGGACCGUGUACAAGUCUCUUGGAAUGGAGCGUCGUAGAGGGUGACAAUCCCGUCUUUGACACGGAUCGCCGGUGCUUUUGUGAUGCGCUCUCGAAGAGUCGAGUUGUUUGGGAAUGCAGCUCAAAACGGGUGGUAAAUUCCAUCUAAAGCUAAAUACAGGCGAGAGACCGAUAGCGAACAAGUACCGUGAGGGAAAGAUGAAAAGAACUUUGAAAAGAGAGUUAAACAGUACGUGAAAUUGUUGAAAGGGAAACGAUUCAAGUCAGUCGCGUCGCCCGGUAAUCAACCCUUUGCUAAAAGAGGGCUCACUUUCUGGGUCGACGGGUCAGCGUCAGUUUUGACCGUCAGAUAAAGGCGCGAGGAAUGUGGCAUCUUCGGAUGUGUUAUAGCCUCCCGUCGCAUGUGAUGGUUGGGAUUGAGGAUCUCGACACGCCGCAAGGUCGGGGCUUUCGCGCCCACGUAACGUGUCUCGGAUGC
rnacentral:rRNA from 1 species